rnacentral:tRNA from 1 species
GGAGAGAUGUCCGAGUCUGGUUGAAGGAGCUGGUCUUGAAAACCAGUGACACCGUCAGGUGCCGGGGGUUCGAAUCCCUCUCUCUCCGCCA